AAUGCAGCUUUAGUCCAAAAUCAGUCAUGGUCAUGAUGGAGAUGCCGCGGAUUUGGCCGGUGGUGGACGAAUUGCUGAUAAACAUUUGAUUUGAAUGCGUCCUUUUCACCGUCUCUCCUCCCCUUUCUUUAGGCUAGUCCUUGCUACGAUGCUAGCACCAGAAGAAAAAAAAAGGAUUGCAAUCGACGGGGCCACGUUGGUAGCAAUCACUCCCCACAGACGAGCAAAAAGAAAUACCCACAAUUUCAAAAUCCUUUUUUUCUUUCUUUGAAUGCAAAUCGUUCCCACCCCCCUCCGGAGCAGAGCUGUGGGUUAGCAGCAGAUGCUAGCUGUCACUAACGACGCAUCAAAAUAAAACAGGGCUGCCUUUAUUUCCCCCAAGUACUCGCUCCCCUGAUUUCUGCUUUCUUUAGCCAAUUCAAGUAAAAGCGACGACGAGUUUGCACAUACCGGGUAAAAUAAAAACAGAGUUAGAAAAAACACCAACACCGAACGAGGAAGUGUAAAGAAAACAGGCCGCGUUUUAAUAUUUUUUACUCAUUUUCCUCCGGAGACGCCAUUUUUGAAGGCGACUGGCCGCUGUCCGUCCUCCCUCUCCCCCUCUGUGUCUCACCGCUGAGACUCACUCAAUGUCUGCGGUGACCUCCAUUCACACUGCCAAGCAGUCCUGCAUGCUAUUCCACAUUUUCAUCUUAUUAAGAGGCCAAAUACUAAUUUAGACUGCAUUUUACACGAACAAAAAUAAUCAGCUGUCUGUCUUGAUCGCUGCGAUUGGCUGAGACGCGUUCGAGUGCAAAAAUGUUUCCAGUGAUAACCAGAUUUAUAUGGGCCUUCAGGAGUCGCUUUGCAAAUUUACAUCCGAAAUGUGCAGGCUGUUUUGAGAGACAGCGGCAUUUCCUGCUUCACGUCAGAUGCUUAAUUAGGCUGCAGUUUGCAUGUAAUCAGUGCUAUGCAAAUAUUGGGGAUAUUCCUUACAAUUGCCAACAUUCCUUAAUGAUGCCAAGACCAGAUUUAGGGUUUCUUGCUAAUUUGAUUAUUUGGAGAACCUGUAUGCCAGAGCUCAUGUGCAUUGAGUUGUACACCAGCAGAUGGCACACUGGAUUUUAUGGUCAUGAUAACAGAGGAGGAAUCACUGGCAGCAAGACAGAGUGACGCUUUGCUCAUAUUUCAUUUUUUGAUCAGGGUUUUCUGAUGCACUCUCUUGUGGGAAAGCACCACCACUCACUCCAGAUCUUCCCUGUCAAAAUGCCAGACUCCAAUGAAGCUGUUCCAGCAUCAUGCCAGGUCAUCAAACAGGACUUUGAGAAAUGUGUCAGAGAGAAGGGAGAGGAGGCCUGUAAAGAUCUGAUGGAUGCCUUCCAGGCCUGUUUAAAAACCCUGUCUGAGGGAUCAUGAUGCAUAAGAAAGUACAUUUUAAUCACAUCAUUCCCUCUGAUUGCACUGGACCGAACCAUCUGAAAAAAUGAAGAGGGGAGUGCUGAUACUGAACGUCAAAUACUGUAUUCUUCUGUCAAUAUUAAACCUUUUUUGUCAUACAUAUUAUAACCCUAUUAUGGAUUCUACUGUAACACUGAUUAACUCUGCACUGUAACAUUUGUAUGCACAAAUAUGCAAUAAAUAAAAAGCUUGUCCAUUGACACGUUAUUAUAUCAGA